UCCUUCGGGGUCGGGUGAAAUUCCCAAUCGACGGUGAUGAGAUGCAUAAUCUCUAAGCCCGUGAGCUCAUAACGAGCAGGAUUUGGUGCGAAUCCAAAGCCGACAGUUAAAGUCUGGAUGGGAGAAGGA
rnacentral:ncRNA from 1 species